UAGUAAGCUGUGAAAAAGAAUAGUAGGAACAAAUUUACAGAGAGAAAAUUAUUAGCUGAGAGAUUUUCAACUGUUUUGAACCCACUUUGGAGCUGUAGGAAAAACCUACCGGAGAAAUCCGUUAUUAGAAUUAAGUUAAAAAUUAGGUGGUACCGCGAUAUAUGUCGCCCUAAAU
rnacentral:ncRNA from 1 species